rnacentral:rRNA from 1 species
AUCAGUUAUGAUUUCUUAGGAUGGUACUUUUUACCUGGAUUACUGGGGUAAUUUCUAAACCUAAUACUGGCACUGAACCCCCAAUCCCCCGGGAGGACGAGUGCUUUUAUUACACCAACACCCAACGGCCCCGGCCGUUGGACGUGGUGACUCUGGAUAACUUUUGGGGAACCCACCGGCUCCGUACCGGCGACGCAUCCUUCAAGUGUCUGCCUUAUCAACUUUCGAUGGUAGGUUAUAUGCCUACCAUGGUUGUUACGGGUAACGGGGAAUCAGGGUUCGAUUCCGGAGAGGGAGCCUGAGAAACGGCUACCACAUCCAAGGAAGGCAGCAGGCGCGCAAAUUACCCACUCCCGGAACGGGGAGGUAGUGACGAAAAAUAACAAUACGGGACUCUUACGAGUUCCCGUAAUUGGAAUGAGUACACUCUAAACCUUUUAACAAGGAUCAAUUGGAGGA